rnacentral:rRNA from 1 species
UACGUAGGGUGCGAGCGUUAAUCGGAAUUACUGGGCGUAAAGCGUGCGCAGGCGGUUCGUUGUGUCGGCGGUGAAAGCCCCGGGCUUAACCUGGGAAUGGCCGUUGAAACUGGCGAACUGGAGUGUGGCAGAGGGGGGGUGGAAUUCCGCGUGUAGCAGUGAAAUGCGUAGAGAUGCGGAGGAACACCGAUGGCGAAGGCAGCCCCCCUGGGCUAACACUGACGCUCAGGCACGAAAGCGUGGGGAGCAAACAGG